GCUAUCUCAAAUAUCAUAUCCGAUUGUGAUAGCACGGCAGAUUAUUCGAAUGUCGGUUCAUUCAUUGGAGUUGGAACUGGAUCUGUGACAGUUACUCUUGUUGCUGUUGGGAUAUUCAUUAUAAUACGACGAUACCUAAGACAUGGGCAUAUAAGACAGCGCAAACCAGAAGACGCACAUGAGUUAACAGAUAACAUACACGAUAACUUCAAAACAACUCCUGCCUUGCCGAAUGUACAAACAAAUACAAAUGCUGGCUAUGAAAAUACAUCAUUUCCAGUAUAUGAAGAAUUAAAAGAGAGUAACAAAGAUUCAAGUACGUAUGACAGUAUUGAUGGUACCAGCACCAGUUAGACAGAUCACAUUUUUGUUGUUCAUAAUAAUUGGACGUGUGUGUCACUUUUGUGUACAUAAGCAGAAAUCAAUACCUGCAUAAUACGAUAAGAAUCUUUCGAAAUAUCAUUUUUUACUCCCUGAUCAUGUACAUAUAAUAAUCUUGCAACCAAAUAUUCCUAUUAAGGUACCGGACCCGUAAUAGAGUACCGUCUUUCGAAGAGUAUUCAAUUCCUACCAUAAUCCAACUUUGACUGCAAUUUUCAGGGGGCGUAGGUUCAAGUCCCAGUGGGACCAACAGUUUUUUUCCAUAUUUUUCUUUUUUCUAAUAAGUUUUUACUCCUUUUGAGACUUACUAUGGAUGUAUUGUACAUAAGUGGCAAAUAUUCACUUUAUAAGCGAUUUCUUGCUGUUCAAAGUGAAUUUACCUCUGAAUCAGGAGGGGUAGAGUUAGACAUCUUUAAAAAUACUGAGUUACAUGCGGUAAAAGUUCUCUAUUUUGCCUUCAUUCUUUAGAUUACAUAUUGUGGAAGAAAUGCAGGUAUGUUUUACUUCUGCCCCAAGGUUAUUUUUUAAUGAAGUGAGCAAAAUUCAAAACAGACCCACAGGACUCGACCUUAAUUUUUCAAUGUUGGAGUUAGAAUUCUGUCUCAUUAAAUCUGUUUACUUGAGGCACCCUAGAAAAAAAAGAUUUUUAUAGUAUUAUUUUGUGUUUUAUAAUUGUUUAACAAUAGUUUGAUGUUUCUUUUAUCAAAAUUAAUGCUGUAAUGAUUUCUCUGCAAACGUUUUAGAUAGUGGCCAUCACAUUGAAAUCUGUGUCUACUUGAGCUUGAGAAAAUACCAUAAAUUAUACAAAAUUUACAAAAAAUGGCAUUGUAAAAGUUGUUUAAAAUUUGCAACACAGUGCGAAACAUGGUCAGCUUUAAGAAUACACCAAGCAAAUAACAUUACUUUUAGGGGUCCAAUAUCUUAAAUUGACAAUGAUUAAUGUGUGAUAAAUGUUAAAACAGACAGAAUUAUGAAUGUCGCACCAAACUCAUGAACUUGUAAAUUAUUGUAUUCCUGUUGAUUUGUUUCUUAUCUUUGUGACUAAGCUUGAUAUUUGUGCUAUCAGAUGUUUUGUUUUUUGCUUUUUCACGCUCUUACAAUCUUCCAAUCAUCAAACAAAUUAUGCCAUUAAGUCUGUUAUUAUUUUAUGAUUCUUUUCCUGUCUACGUAUAUAUGUAAUUAUGUUUAUUGAUUUGAACAAAAAUGUUGUUUGCUAAAUAUUUUUUUCGUGUAAUUUAUAAGUUAUUUUUCAUAAAAAUGAACAUCAAUAGAACAUAAUAAGUCUACGAAAUUAUUUGAAUUAAAACAGAUAUUAUUUGUUUUGUUAAUGACUGUUUUUAAUUCUUUAAUUUAUUUCAGGAAACCAUUUUCAUUAUAUCAGUUUUCACUUCCUUCUAUUGCUAUUUCUCAAUAACUGAGGUGCAUUUUGAAUAAAUGAAGGAAUUCUAAAGAUUCAUUUAAACUUUGAGACAAAUUUCAUACUGUUACUGUUUCAUAAAUUAUUAAUUCAAGCCUAGAUGUAUGCUGUUUUAAAGGGAAUAAAGUACUUAUGACAUUUUCUAACAGUUUUGUUAGGGUUAAAAUUCUUUUAUUGACUGUUAAAAUCAAUGAGAGCUAAAGAUACAUGCGAUCAUGUAAAUAUUUCUGGACUGUACAUAUGGGUUUUAUUGUAGAAAUCUGACAUUUAAGGAAGCCAUCCAGUAGUCUGACGUAUGUUCGAUGGUUUUAUCCAGAUGUAGGCCCAUACGUGUAAUAAUGCUCUGUGGGGCACCUGAGUCUUCCGCGACCACCAAAAGCUUGAAAGUCAUCGUAUGAGUUAUAAAUAUAUCUGUGUGAAGGUAAACCCGUCUCAAAAAAUACUGUAACUGUUAAACAUGUUCUUGAUCAGUUUGGAUGAGAUUUCUUAACCUGUGUCUCAACCGUAUUAAACCUCAUAGCAUCUUAACGUAUUCUUUUCACUAGCUGCUCACAUCGUAUUGCGUAUAAAACACUGUCUUCAAACUAAACACUAAAUAAUUGCUUUCCUAAGAGUGACUGAAUAUUGAUAUAAUUUGAUGUACUUACUGGACCCGUAAUGACAUUCGACAAUUUCCGUAAGAUUAUAUAUUCCCGAUUUCGACGUUCUCUGGCUGUUUGUACUUAUGAACUAAUAAACCAUAUUAGCAGCCGGAGAAUGGCCGAAAUAGCAGUAUGAGAAUACAUAAAAUAAUUCGUUACGGGUCCUUUACUUAAAGAGAGUGUGUACGAAUAUAUUUUUCAAUCAUGGACAACGUUCUUUUGAACGUAAAUUGCCGAGUCCUUAACUUAAAGAGAAUUUGUAUGGAUAUGUACGAAACCUUUCUGUAAAGAAUGCCAAAGUUAUUGUUUUUGUAGUUUAGGAUCUAUAUCUGCAUGCUAUAAAAACGUGUAUUUGUGAUAUUGAAGCUAUAUAAAUGAAAACAUAUUCUUUUCGUCUGUAAAGAGCAUUGAUGUACUCAAUUUAACCCAUAGCCUGUUGGCGGCAAGUGAUUUUGUCUUUGCGACCAGUCCAGACCAAGAUCAGCCUGCACAUCCGUGCAAUCUGAUCAUGGUCUGCACUGUUCGCCAUUCAAUCAGUAUCGUUUUGAUAAGCACCUUUUUAUUUUCGUUACUGGUAUUGUCUGAAUUGAAAGAUGGACUUGUUCAUUGUAGAAAGUUCGCAGGCUAAGGGUUAAUUAUAUCAAAUAUCAUUCUGCCAGUUAUAAGAAAAUUCGAAUAAGAUGUUUGAUCCUUGGUUUAUGUAAAUAAAUAUUAUCUUCA